GUGUGUGUGUGUGUGUGUGUGUGUGUGUGUGUGUGUGUGUGUGUGUGUGUGUGUGUGUGUGUGUGUUUCCAUUGCCUUUUUCUGCUGUGCCGCAGGCACACAUAGUGUAGAGGAUUGGUGAAGAUACUGAUGGGGAUGCACAGCUGCACGGAGGAAGCAGAAGCCGGUUCUCACUCUUCAGCUCCCCAUCCCAACAACGGGACUACUGCCAUCCUCCCUCUCCGAAGAUGGGGAGGGGGGGGGGGUCGCCAUAUAGGAGCUCAGAAACAUGGAGUGGAUCCGAGGAGGGAGAGAGGAAUCUUUUCACUCCUGGUGCUGGAUGUCAUGCUCUGCUAUGCGUAGUGAUAGGAAGAGAGUGAGAUUACUCCAUACCCUGUAAGGCACACAAUCAACAAGGAUGAAGAGAAGUAGGUAGCCAAGGUGUAAGGGACAGGGUGGCUGAAGGGAGGCGUUCCUCAGACGGAGCAGAGCAGAACGCUCUCUCCUCCUCUCCCCUUGUCAUUAGUAUGCAGUGGCUGUUCCCCAGGCGACAGGGCCACUGGGUUCGGGCUGAGCUUACGGCAAGAGGAACGUCAGCGACACAGAGGAGAGGAGGACAGCAGGGAGCAGUGCGGCCAGGCUGCAGAUAUCAUCCAUCUCCCUGUCACUGGCCCAGGGGCUGCUGGGAAGGCAGCAGACAGCUCCUCGGCUCUGACGAUGGGAGCUGCAUCCUAAUUCUCCAACUCUGAUCGCUCGGAACACUCGCUCCUCCCCCGCCACCCAGAGUGAUACAUCUGGGAACAAAGCACAGAGCUUAGCCAGUCCACCAGAGCCUGCUGCUAGCAUCAUCUCCAUUACUCCUAAUAUUGAACAAUUUCUCACAGAUCACACCCUCACUGGGCAUUGUGUUGUUAUUGAGGUGAAUGAUAAGAGUUUGAAAACCCUAGAUUGUAGAAGAAUCUCAGUAAGAAUAUAAAGUCAUGGUCAUAAACAUCCUUUAGAUAUACAGUAUCUCAAGCAUCAUUACAUUUUAGUCAUUUAGCAGAUGCUCUUAUCCAGAGCAACUUACAGUAGUGAAUGCAUACAUUUCAUACACUUUUUCUCCGUACUGGUCCCCCAUGGGAAUCAAACCCACAACCCUGCAAACACCAUGCUCUACCAACUGAGCUACACAGGACUUCCACUUGUUGAUAUCAUGCGUACUCAGAAUAACCUUUUUAUACACAGUUCUACAGUAAAUUUGACUUGGUAAAGUAUUCUUAUACUACAUACAAAACAAUAAAGACCUUGUAAGUAUUACAAGACACAAAGGCAUUCAUAUCUUCACAUUUAUAGGCUACAUGCUUCAAUGUGUCAUGAACACAUCACCUAGUGAGGUAACAAAUUAUUCUUCACGAGUGAUCAAAUCAUUCAUGAAUAACAGGAAAUGAAUAUCUCUAAAGUUGAUUGUACAGAAUGAACUGUUAAAGGGCAAUUCAGCCACUGUUCAACCUCAUAUUCAUUAUCUCUAGCACCAUGCCAACGUCUACAUCCCAGCCAACAUUUCCAUGUGGUGCCCAUAUGGGUUAAUGGAGGGCUGUCCCAUGGGCCCUAUGAGGGAUACCCAACAGGGACCCACAAAGUUUUGUCCUCAACAUCCAUAUUGGCCCCACAUGUGGUUGCCAUGUUGGAAUUGAUGUGGGUUAAUGUUGGGCUUCAUAAAGUUGCCCUAGUGGUUUACCCCAAUGUGUUAAAAUCUGGGUAAAGGAUGGGUGUGUAGUGAGACCUAUAUUGGCAAUAAGUAGGCUGUGCAUGUGAUUUUUAAUUGGGCUGCCCCAAUGUAGAUACAGCUAACCAACUAGAUUCAAUGUUAGCUAGCUAGCUAACAUUGAACCCAGCUGUUUAGCUUUAGCUACAUGCAGAUUCAUACUACAGCAUUGACAAUCAGUUUGUAUUCGCGGUAGUAGUAUGAGUUGGGAUUAUGCCAGUUCAGUGUUUAGCUAGCAAACUAUAUGUCUAAACAAAAGACUCCACUUCGCCAGAUGAUUACAUGACCCAUCAAGUUAGCCAGGUGGGUCUGGGGGAGAUUAUGGCCAUUAAUUGUAUUUCCUGAACAUGUGUACAUGUCUAGACAAUAGCGACCCAUCCACUUAGAUAGAUGUGGCUGGGGGAUUGUUAUAGAAUUUAUUUCACAUUACCCAUUAAUUUAGACAAGUGUGUGUGGGAAAGCAUCAUCUAAUAAUGAUAAAAUAUUUAUAAAAUAUUUUUAUCUGGACACUUUCUGUUUUUGCUGCUAUGCACAUAUGCAAGUAACCAUUUCACUGUACCGUUUACACCUUCUGUAUCCUGUGCAUGUGACAAAUAAACGUUUUAAUUUUAUUUUAUUUGAUAUAGUGCGUGUUUACCCCAGACACAGAUCACACACGUAAUGUUAGCUAGCGAGCCAGCAAGCUAACAAUUGCUUGCUAGUGAAGAGUUCGCUUUAACUUGCAAUGAAAAUUAUUUUCGGACAAAAUUUGAAACUUAUAAUAUCUGAAAAUGUAACUAGACUCUUACGUCUAUACAUGGAUGAAUGUUUCAUGGCAGACUGGAACCAUUUAACUCUGUUUUGUUUGUAGCUACAUCUUGUUUGGCCAGCGCUGUGUCAAGUCACGCCGGUUCACACUGACCGUGGCGUAUGCAGAAAGUAGCCCAUCAAAACAUUUUUGUCAACUGAUCUGUCGAUAGUGCCUGCUAAAUUCAGGGCAUCAAUGUUGUUAAGAAAAGUUGUAAAACUUUUGUAGUUCUCGAUGGCUAACGUUAUAACUUUAAAAAAAAGCAGCGGUAGGAAGGAUUAUCAAUACAUACUGAGCAGCUCACGUUAUAAACAGAAGCAUACUACAUGGCAGACUAAUCCAAACUCAUCUCCCUGCAUGUCCAGCCCAUCCAUUAUCUCAGCCAAUCAUGGCUAGCGGGAAGGUUCCUGCUUUUUUCUGUGGCUAAAUCAACUAGGCUCGUAAUUUAACAAUUUAAUUCAUAUUUACAGAUGGGGGCGGGUAUUUUCCUGGAUCCCACGUCACCAUAAACCUCCUAGUGUUUGAAAAUCACAGUUUUUAAAAUGUUUAAACUUUUGAUUAUGUCAUCAGGUAGAACUUCUAAACUUUAUAUUUUUUCUGCAAAAGAUAGAAACGUGCCGUUUUCACAUAUGUAGACAUGGUAUUGUGCUGGAGAUAAUGACAAUUAGGUUGAAAAGUGGUGGACUUGCCCUUUAAAGUUCUGUUUUAUAAUCUACCUUACAAAGUAUGUAUGUAACAAUAAUGAAGUUGUACAGUAUUACCAGCCAGUAAAUAACAAAUAACUCUUAUUCUUCAGGCUGUUGAGGCGCUCCACUGAAGAUGGUGGGCUCUUUCAUUCCUUUGAAUCGUGGUGGGAGAGAGAGAGCUCACAGGGGGCUUCUGCCGCCUGUUUUCCCGAAAUGUUGUUCUGAACUCAAAAGACCCUCUUGGACUAGCAGGCUGGGGAAUCAAAUCCUGCUCCACACAAAGGAGACUGAUUUCUGAUGAGUAAAGCAAACACCGUGCUUGUACAUUUUAUCAGAAUCUGCUGACAGUUCUCUUGAAGUUUUGGCCCCAAGGGAUCUCACAUAAAAAAACAACAAGACAUCAUCUGCACAUGGCAAAACACAAGCUUCUCACUGUUACAAAUGAAGCUAAAAAGAAAAACUCAGCCAAAGCAAAUAACUGUGAGAGGGAUAAGAUCAGUGUGUGUGUGUGUGUGUGUCUGUGUGCGUGUGCGUGUGCGUGUGUGUGUGUGCAUGCUCACAAGCAAGCAGUUUGAAAGUACAGUACAUUAACACUACCAACACCUGGUCUAUUCAUAGACCCCAACUUUACCUUUGACUUUGCAUACCAUAAUUCAAUGGAGUUGAAGUUGUGGACAAUUUAAGUUGAAACAACAUUUUAAGCCCACGGGCCUCCUGCAUCCCACACCUUUGGUUGCUGAGAUCAUCAACCAUAAACAAGUAACCUUUAAAUGAUCUAAAAACACACAACUUAAGAAAUAAAGGAGGCUUUAUCAAACCAAAUAUGCUCUAUCGUGUACCUCAUCUGCACUAAAGCCAUAGACACAGAGCCUUUCGAUUCAUCUUUAUUUCACAAAAAAAGAAAAAAACUGCAAAUCAGCUCACAUAACAAUGAUGGUUAACAUGCAUUUAGCUGAUCUAGGGGGUAAUCAUUAGUCCAACAAGUUGUAAAAAGAGAUUCUAUUGGACAAAUUCAGGUAUGUUUAUCCCUGUUUCGUUCUGUUUGCUUCCGUUGAAGAAACGUUUUUCAACAGAAUUAACGGAAUGAAUAGUUUCAAGAGUUUCAAGUUCCUCGGUGUCCACAU